AGCAGCCCUCAAUCUGCAGGCUGUUGAAGCUGGAUCAUUAUGCUGGGUCCCCCAUUCUGUGAUAUCAACCCAUCCGACACAGGCUAGCCUCCGACUUCACGAAGAAUCGGAAACUGUAUGAUCCAUUAGGCUUUGUCUGGUGUCUCGAUCAUCUUUCAAACACUGGGGCCCCGUGACUGGAAGAGCAUGGGAGGGAAGGGUGGGACCCUUCCCCUCAACUUCAGCUGUGUGAUUGAGGGCAAGCCGGGGCUCGGGAAGCCUUUUUGGUUUGGAGAUGACUAAUCUGGCUCUGGCCUGAGAAUAAUUCCAGUCUGGCUGGCUGGACGGCCCGUUUCCAUGGUGACGGUUGUUAUUGGUAACUGAAUAAGCAUCUCAGAGAACAGCUCUGGAGUUGAUGGCUUUCCCUUCCAGUUGGAGUUGAGAGGAGCCAGGCUUGGGCUGAGAUCCUCAGCGUGGACUCACUGCUGCAGUGUGAGCUUUCCGGAGCUGUUCUUUUAAGGGCCAAUUAAACGCCUGGAAUAUUCGUACAUGCUGAUCCCACCGCUAAGCGAUUGCCCAUGAAUCCUCGUCACGAGUCCUUCGAAGCGGAUUUCAAAAUACAUGCCAGGACCGACAGCCAGAAUUUUAAGAUCCAUCACUGCACGACUAACAAGCCGUAUUCUCUCCAAGAUUACAAAUAAAAGGCAUAAGCAGC